GAUGAACGCUAGCUACAGGCUUAACACAUGCAAGUCGAACGGAGUGCCUUUGAAAGAGGAUUCGUCCAAUUGAUAAGGUUACUUAGUGGCGGACGGGUGAGUAACGCGUGAGGAACCUGCCUUGGAGUGGGGAAUAACACAGUGAAAAUUGUGCUAAUACCGCAUAAUGCAGUUGGGCCGCAUGGCUCUGACUGCCAAAGAUUUAUCGCUCUGAGAUGGCCUCGCGUCUGAUUAGCUAGUUGGUGGGGUAACGGCCCACCAAGGCGACGAUCAGUAGCCGGACUGAGAGGUUGGCCGGCCACAUUGGGACUGAGACACGGCCCAG
rnacentral:rRNA from 1 species